UUCAGCCUCCCCACCCAGACAAGAGACAGAGGCUGACAGGAGCAGCUGCUCUUAGACACCACCCCCUGGUCUCUCUGCUGCCUGUGUCAGUCUGGGUUUUUGUUCCCGUGAGAGUGGGCACCUGUGGUGGUGGGUUUCUACCUCCUGUCCCCAUGGACAUUAUGGAAAGUCCCAAGAAGCAGGAGCUGCAAACACAGGGGAGCAGAGCCUGGGACAAUCCUGCCUACAGCAACCCUCCUUCCCCAAAUGGGACCCUGAGGAUCUGCACUGUCUCCAGUGUGGCUUUCCCUGAGACUCAACCGAAAAAGCCAGAGGUCAGACGCCAGGAGAGGACACAGAGAACCCUGGUAUCCAGCUGCUGUCUCUGUAUCUGUCAGAGCAUCAGAGGACUAUGGGGGACAACGCUGACUGAGAACACAGCCGAGAACAGAGAGCUUUAUGUCAAGACCACCCUGAGGGAGCUUGUGGUGUACAUCGUGUUCCUCGUGGAUGUCUGUCUGUUGACCUACGGAAUGACAAGUUCCAGUGCUUAUUACUACACCAAAGUGAUGUCUGAGCUGUUCCUUCAAACCCCAUCGCACUCUGGAGUCUCCUUCCAGACCAUCAGCAGCAUGUCAGACUUCUGGGAUUUUGCUCAGGGCCCACUCCUGGACAGUUUGUACUGGACAAAGUGGUACAACAACCAAAGCCUGGGGCAUGGCUCCCACUCCUUCAUCUACUAUGAGAACCUGCUCCUGGGGGCCCCGAGGUUGCGGCAGCUGCGGGUGCGCAACGACUCCUGUGUGGUUCAUGAAGACUUCCGGGAGGACAUUUUGAACUGUUAUGAUGUCUACUCUCCGGACAAAGAAGAUCAGCUCCCCUUUGGACCUCUCAAUGGCACAGCGUGGACAUACCAUUCACAGAAUGAGCUGGGGGGUUCCUCCCACUGGGGCAAGCUCACAAGCUACAGUGGGGGUGGCUACUACUUAGAUCUUCCAGGAUCCCGACAAGCCAGUGCAGAGGCCCUCCAAGGACUCCAGGAGGGAUUAUGGCUGGACAGGGGCACUCGGGUGGUCUUUAUCGACUUCUCCGUGUAUAAUGCCAACAUCAAUCUUUUCUGUAUUUUGAGACUGGUGGUAGAGUUUCCAGCCACAGGAGGAACCAUCCCGUCCUGGCAGAUCCGCACAGUUAAGCUGAUCCGCUACGUGAAUAACUGGGACUUCUUCAUUGUGGGCUGUGAAGUCAUCUUCUGUGUCUUCAUCUUCUACUAUGUGGUGGAGGAAAUCCUGGAAAUCCACCUGCAUCGGUUUCGCUACCUCAGCAGCGUCUGGAACAUUAUGGACCUGGUGGUCAUCUUGCUCUCCAUCGUGGCUGUGGGUUUCCACAUAUUCCGAACUCUGGAAGUGAACCGACUGAUGGGAAAGCUCCUGCAGCAGCCAGACACGUAUGCAGACUUUGAGUUCCUGGCCUUCUGGCAGACUCAGUACAAUAACAUGAAUGCGGUCAACCUUUUCUUUGCUUGGAUCAAGAUAUUCAAGUACAUCAGCUUCAACAAGACCAUGACCCAGCUCUCCUCCACCCUGGCUCGCUGUGCCAAGGAUAUCCUGGGCUUCGCCAUCAUGUUCUUUGUUGUCUUCUUCGCUUACGCCCAGCUUGGCUACCUGCUUUUCGGGACCCAAGUGGAAAACUUUAGCACUUUCGUCAAGUGCAUUUUCACUCAGUUCCGGAUAAUCCUUGGAGAUUUUGACUACAAUGCAAUUGACAACGCCAACCGAAUCCUGGGCCCUGUGUACUUUGUCACCUAUGUCUUCUUCGUCUUCUUCGUGCUCCUGAAUAUGUUCCUGGCCAUCAUCAAUGACACAUAUUCAGAGGUCAAAGAGGAGCUGGCUGGCCAGAAGGAUCAGUUUCAGCUUUCUGACCUCCUGAAGCAGGUGACCACACAGUCUCUGCAUAGCAUCUCUAUGUCUGGGUUUGGUUCUAAGGUGCUGUGCCAUGGUGGGCUAUUCUUGAUUGGUGCAGGUGCCUGUGUUCUUGAAUGCCUUUGACUUGUACCUGGGGGCUUGAGAUCUUCAGUUGGAGGUGGGAGCGGGGGCAAUGGUGCUGAGAACCCUGUGAGCAAGUCUGUCAGCUUCCUCUCCCUUUCAGAGCUACAACAAGACCCUACUAAGGCUGCACCUGAGGAAAGAGCGGGUUUCAGAUGUGCAGAAGGUCCUGAAGGGUGGGGAACCGGAGAUCCAGUUUGAAGAUUUCACCAACACCUUGAGGGAACUGGGGCACGAGGAGCACGAGAUCACGGCUGCCUUCAGCAGGUUUGAUCAGGAUGGAGAUCACAUACUAGAUGAGGAGGAGCAGGAACAGAUGCAACAGGGGCUGGAAGAGGAGAGGGUGACCCUCAGUGCUGAGAUUGAGAACUUAGGCCGGUCUGUUGGAUACAGUCCCCCAGGUGAAUUGGGAACAGAGGCUGCCAGAGGACGAAACUGGGUUUCUGGAGAAGAAUUCGACAUGCUCACAAGGAGAGUUCUGCAAUUGCAGCGUGUUCUGGAAGGAGUUGUAUCCCAGGUUGAGGCUGUGGGCUCAAAGCUGAAGAUGCUGGAGAGGAAAGGGGAGCUGGCUCCCUCCCCAUGAAUGGUGAGAGCAGCUGUUUGGGAGAACUCGUAUAAUCCAUCCUAGGUGUCACUCCAGCCCUUUGGGAGUUCAGGGUGGGCUGGAGGAUGGAAAGGGGGCUCCAAAAGCAACAGACAGCAAGUUCCUCUCUCUCUGCCUUCCCACAAGCCUCUUCUCCACCUCCCCCCUGCCUUUCUAGGGCAGCAUGUCUCAUGAUAGCUGCUAUGGAGUUCCACCCUGUAUCUGGCCUUUUGAGCCAAUGUUUUUGUGUGUAGCUGGGCAAGCAUGCUUAGGCUUGUCCCUUGGUGUUUCUGUAUGUAGUUGCACAGUUCUGUAAAGUAGCAUUUCCUACCUGGCCUCUCUCUUCCUGGGCAUUUACUUCUGCUGUAAUGAUUGACACCAAUAACAAAUAAGAAAAAGCAGGAGAUGGCAGUGACUCUCCUGAAGAUUUCAGACAGCCACGGUUAGUCAAAAGGUAGAAGUCCAAGAGUAGCUGAUGGAUAUUUCUUCCUACAUUCCAGUAACUCUUACCCUCCUCCCAUGUGUGUCACAAUAUCUACCAUUGGCAUGUAUGGCUGUGUGUAGGGGGUCUUCUCUAUCCCAUGGAGUUUCCCUGUAAAAGAGAAAAGGAAGCCAUAGAGGAAAGAAGAUUCUUGUGUGGUGAGAUUCCAACCGAGGAGUUACGAGUGAUCAAUGAAAGCUCUUCUGGAGGAGCCUGUCUUCUGCUUCUGAUGUUCCACUGACUACCUGGAACCAAGGGAACUUCAAUCCUGGAAUCACACAGAACCUGAAGGAAUCACGCAAGAGAUGGUAUCUGGACUCAUUGAUCUUUGGACUAAUAUGUGAUGGUCUCUGGCUCUAUUCAUCAUAGGACAAUGUGAGGCUCCAAGAUUAUGAUUAUCAAUAAAACUCUUUAGAAAA